rnacentral:rRNA from 1 species
GACGAACGCUGGCGGCGUGCUUAACACAUGCAAGUCGAACGAAGAGCGAUGGAAGCUUGCUUCUAUCAAUCUUAGUGGCGAACGGGUGAGUAACGCGUAAUCAACCUGCCCUUCAGAGGGGGACAACAGUUGGAAACGACUGCUAAUACCGCAUACGAUCUAAUCUCGGCAUCGAGGAUAGAUGAAAGGUGGCCUCUACAUGUAAGCUAUCACUGAAGGAGGGGAUUGCGUCUGAUUAGCUAGUUGGAGGGGUAACGGCCCACCAAGGCGACGAUCAGUAGCCGGUCUGAGAGGAUGAACGGCCACAUUGGGACUGAGACACGGCCCAGACUCCUACGGGAGGCAGCAGUGGGGAAUCUUCCGCAAUGGACGAAAGUCUGACGGAGCAACGCCGCGUGAGCGAUGACGGCCUUCGGGUUGUAAAGCUCUGUUAAUCGGGACGAAAGGCCUUCUUGCGAAUAGUGAGAAGGAUUGACGGUACCGGAAUAGAAAGCCACGGCUAACUACGUG